UGCCGAUUUUACUAAAGGUGAAUUAUUAUUACUUUGAGAAAAUUCCGGUGGAGGAGGCAGACUUAGUUCUGUGAUUGUUAGCGUAGAAUUUUCAAUGAUGGCAGAUGUAGGGUUCAUCUCAUUUUUCUUUGCAGAACUAGGACGGACAUUUGACUCAUCUUCUGAGGCAGAAGGGGUGAUGUGAGUUGCUACAGGAUCAGACGCAAAGCAGAUCUCUAUUGCAGCAUCCAGUGCACAACAGUUAAAAUGUUCCGACAUAGCAUCUGGAGCAGAACUGGUGGUGGGAUGUCCGUCGUAGUUUGCGGUAUUAAGUUGAUCAAUAAAGCAGACUCAGGC
rnacentral:misc_RNA from 1 species